rnacentral:rRNA from 1 species
UAGGGAAUCUUCCACAAUGGACGAAAGUCUGAUGGAGCAACGCCGCGUGAGUGAAGAAGGUUUUCGGAUCGUAAAGCUCUGUUGUUGGUGAAGAAGGAUAGAGGCAGUAACUGGUCUUUAUUUGACGGUAAUCAACCAGAAAGUCACGGCUAACUGCCUUCCAG